rnacentral:tRNA from 1 species
GAAUCCAGGUAGACCUGCCAAGGCAGCGGCUUUUGAUGCCGCCAUUCCCUGGUUCGAAUCCAGGUAGACCUGCCA